rfam:Picea glauca, whole genome shotgun sequence.
GGUGCCGUGGUGUAGUUAGUUAUAACGUUAGUUUAACACACUGAAGGUCUCCGGUUCAAGUCCGGGCGGCUCCA